ensembl:lncRNA
GUAAGGGGACAGCUAAGUGAGGAGGAGGGGAGAAAAGAAGAGAGGAGGGAAGAGAGGAGGGAGAAGGGAGGAGAUGGCGAGGGAAGGAAGCAUCUAGAAGCUGGGUAAUUUAAAGAUGUUUUCAGAGGUCUGGGCCGGGUGUGGGGAAACCAGUGUGGCAGAGUGGUGGUGACUGGAGGAGCCAGUUUUACUUACUGAAGGGGCAAAGGGGGCAGCUUCCCUGGUGGCUCAGGCAGCAAAGAAUCUGCAGGCGGUAAAGAAUCGCCUGCAAUGCAGGAGACUCGGGUUUGAUCCCUGGGUCAGGAAGAUCCUCUAGAGAAGGAAAUGGCAACCCACUCCAGUAUUCUUGCCUGGAAAAUCCGAUAGACAGAGGAGGCUGACAAGCUACAGUUCAUGGGAUUGCAGAGUCGGACACAACCAAACAGCUAACACUUUCACCUUCAAGGUGACAGGUGAUCUGGGGUGGGGGGGGGGGCAGGUACCAGGCAGAAGUGCUGCGGGGUGCGAGCUCUGUGGUGAGGCAGUUGGGGAAGCAGUGCCCCGACCCCUGCCACCUCCUGCCGCAUGGACUCAGCGAGAAGCCAUCACGCAAGGGAGCUGCUGAAGUGUCCCUGAGUGCAGGUGGCAAAGACAGAUGGAGAAGGACAAGGUCACAAACUGGGUUCCAGUCCCAGCUCUGUCUCUGCCGGCUGUGUGACUCUGGAGAAGUCACGCCACCUCUCUGCGCCCCAGCAUCCUCACCUGUACAGCGAGAAUAAAAGUCCUCACCUCCAAGCGUUGUUGGAGGGACUGGAUGAGGAAACACGUAUGAAGCUGCCUAGUUACUGGUUGAAAUUAACAACAAACAAGCGAGUGUCUCCCGCUGCCAAGCUGCUCCCCGACUUCUGUGGAACAUGUCACAGCGAACGAUGCAGAUGAAAGCCCCUGGCACGCAGCAGGUGCUCGGGCAGUGUUCGAGCCUGAACAGACAAGCCGCGUGCUGUCUAAGAUGUACUGCUGUUGCACUUUUGCACGCAUAUCUAUG